rnacentral:pre_miRNA from 1 species
AGUGGGAUAGCUGGGCCAAAUGGUGGUACCAUUCCAAGUUUUCUAAGGAAUCUCUAUACUGCUUUUCAGAUUGAUUGCACCAGUUUGCCAUCUCACUAGCAAU